rnacentral:rRNA from 1 species
CCUACGGGAGGCUGCAGUGGGGAAUAUUGGACAAUGGGCGAAAGCCUGAUCCAGCCAUGCCGCGUGUGUGAAGAAGGCCUUCGGGUUGUAAAGCACUUUCAGUGGGGAAGAAAGCCUUGGGGCUAAUACCCUCGAGGAAGGACAUCACCCACAGAAGAAGCACCGGCUAACUCCGUGCCAGCAGCCGCGGUAAUACGGAGGGUGCGAGCGUUAAUCGGAAUUACUGGGCGUAAAGCGCGCGUAGGCGGUCUGAUAAGCCGGUUGUGAAAGCCCCGGGCUCAACCUGGGAACGGCAUCCGGAACUGUCAGGCUAGAGUGCAGGAGAGGAAGGUAGAAUUCCCGGUGUAGCGGUGAAAUGCGUAGAGAUCGGGAGGAAUACCAGUGGCGAAGGCGGCCUUCUGGACUGACACUGACGCUGAGGUGCGAAAGCGUGGGUAGCAAACAGGAUUAGAUACCCUUGUAGU